UGAGUAACGCGUAUCCAACCUGCCGUCUACUCUUGGACAGCCUUCUGAAAGGAAGAUUAAUACAAGAUGGCAUCAUGAGUCCGCAUGUUCACAUGAUUAAAGGUAUUCCGGUAGACGAUGGGGAUGCGUUCCAUUAGAUAGUAGGCGGGGUAACAGCCCACCUAGUCUUCGAUGGAUAGGGGUUCUGAGAGGAAGGUCCCCCACAUUGGAACUGAGACACGGUCCAA
rnacentral:rRNA from 1 species